GUUCAAGCAAUUCUUCUGCCUCAGCCACCCGAAUAGUAGCUGAGACUACAGGUGCAUGCCAUCAUGCCUCGCUAAUUUUCGUAUUUUUAGUAGAGACGGAGUUUCACCAUGUUGGCCGGGCUACUCUCAAACAUCUGACCUCAAGUGAUCCACCCACCUCGGCCUCCAAAAGUGAUGGGAUUACAGGUGUGAGCCACUGCACCCGGCCUGGAACUCUUCCCAACACUUCUCAUACCCUCUG
rnacentral:lncRNA from 1 species